rnacentral:rRNA from 1 species
GACAGAGGUGCCAAGCGUUAGGCGGAAUCACUGGGCUUAAAGCGUGUGUAGGCGGAAUUCUAAGUACCUUGUGAAAUCCCACGGCUCAACCGUGGAACUGCUGGGUAUACUGGUUUUCUUGAGCCACUUAGGGGCUGUCGGAACAAAUGGUGGAGCGGUGAAAUGCGUAGAUAUCAUUUGGAACGCCAACGGUGAAAACAGACAGCUGGGAGUGUGCUGACGCUGAGACACGAAAGCGUGGGGAGCGAACAGG